UAGCGCUACAAUAAUGGCCAUUGGACCUGUGUGCACACAAUUAAGGGGCAUAAAUCCAAUGCAUUGGUGGCCUAAUUGAAUACGUGAUUGACUUUGUGUUAACUUUGAUGGUUGUUGCGAACUGUGGAGCGACUGAAAACAUGGAAACCGGAAGCGGACGAAAAGUUAUAAUGACUGAAAAGGCGCUUGCUGAUAAGCUUUUAAGGUUGCAAGCGGAACGAAAGGCAAAGCUGAACAAAGGAUGUGCGAUCAAAGGAACGUGGCUCAAGUUUUAAAACGGAUUCUGAACAUCACUACGAUAUGCAUGACCGCCAGAAAAGCAUGGGAAAUUCACACCAACUUAAAGGUCAAAUGACAACUUCUCAAUUAAACAAGGAAAUCCGUCAACCCCAAAUCACUCAUCAACUCACUCAUCCUUGCAUAAAUCAAAUUGCAUCUGAGGACAUACUUACCGUCAUGCACAGACAAAAUGAAAUAACAGCUGCUUUGGUGCAACAGCAAACUGCAAGAUCUCUGCCGCCGAGAGACAUUCCUAUAUUCGAAGGGAACCCUUUGCAAUACAGAGCAUUCAUAAAAGCAUUCGAGCAAGGAGUGGAGAAUAAAGCAGAAGGAGCAGAUUGUCUUUUCUAUCUGGAGCAAUUUACCAGAGGACAGCCACAACAACUGGUACGUAGCUGCCAGCACUUGGCUCCUGAUCGCGGCUAUGCAGUGGCUAAGGACCUGCUGCAGGAGCAUUUUGGAAAUCAAUAUAAAAUUGCUAAUGCUUAUAUGGAAAAGGUUCUAGCCUGGCAGUCCAUAAAGGGUGAAGAUGUUAAAGCACUCCAAGCAUAUUCUUUGUUUUUGCGUGGCUGUUGUAAUGUAAUGGAGGAAUUGGAGUAUAUGCAAAAGUUGGAUAUGCCUGCAAAUAUGAGAGCCAUUCUUGCAAAGCUGCCAUACAAGUUGAGGGAGCAAUGGAGAUCCAUUGCUUAUGGAAUCAUGGAACAGACACAGCAGAGAGCUCGCUUUACUGACUUGGUUGUAUUUGUGGAGCGUCAUGUUAAAAUUCUUUCUGAUCCUCUGUUCGGUGACAUCCAAGAUCACCCGGUUUAAGUCUUAUCCUGGAAACAGGGUGAAAGGAAAUAUUGUUGCCACCACUGUAACAUACGACCUCAUCAGAAAGGGGGGAGGAGCCACCAGCAGAGCUUGGAAAGUCAGUUAAAGCAGGAUGCCUUUGCUGUUCAUACAGUCACACAUUGGAGGAGUGUAAACCGUUUAAUGAGAAAAGACACAAGGAGAAAAUUCAACUUCUGAAGGAAAAGGGAGUUUGCUUUGCAUGCUUAUGUGAUGGUCACAUGAGUCGGGAAUGCGAGAGGCGCUUGACAUGCAAAGUCUGUGGUCAAACUCAUCCCACUGUGCUGCACAUCAGUAGUCAACCACCUGCUCCAGAGCAAAAGAAACAACCAGCUUCACAACAGCUAAAGGGCCCACUCGGUAAACAAUCAGCUUCUUUCCAAACAUGUGGGCAUACAGGGGCCGGUAAGGAUGGCUGUGUUCUCCCAAUUCUUCCUGUAAGAGUGAAGUCUGUGAAAGGAUGUGACAUUAUACAAACAUAUGCAUUUCUGGACCCUGGUAGCUCGGCCACGUUCUGCUCCGAAGAUCUAAUGCAGAGGCUGAAUAUUACAGGCAGAAGAACCAGUGUUUUGUUGAACACAAUGGGCCAGGAGACUGUUGUUCCAUCUUAUUCCAUCACUGGUUUGGAGGUGGCUGGAUUAGAGGGCAAUGACUUUUAUAGUCUCCCAGAGGUCUUGAGCCAACGGAAAAUGCCAGUCACCACUAAUAAUAUAGUAACAACUGAGGAACUGGAUAAAUGGUCUUACUUGUCGGACGUUCACAUCCCACACAUAAAGGCAAAUGUUGAUUUGUUGAUAGGAACCAACGCUCCCAAAUUGCUGGAACCAUGGGAGGUCAUCAACAGCCACGGGAAUGGCCCGUACGCUAUUAAAACUGUGUUGGGAUGGGUAGUUAAUGGUCCACUGAGUGGAAGCAGUGGUGCCUAUACUGACCUCACACUCAUAAAUGGCCCUUUUGUUGUGUUUUUCAGAGCUUAAUGAAUGAGUGAGAUGAAUGUUUAAUUGUUAAGGCCGCAUGUCAGAAGUUCAAGUACAUAAACCGUUUUAUGGUAAAUGUUUUAAUCCACACUAAGGUGUACUGUACUGUGCACUUAAUAAGUUGAAGUUCUUUGGUGCCAAAUGCUGUGGUCAGGAGUCCCUGUAUUUUAUUUUAAUGUCACAUGUUUUAAGAGUAUAAUGUAUAAUGUAAUAUGUUUUUUUGUUUUCUUUGCUUCACAACUCUUGCUUGGUGGGCAGUUAAAUUGAGAACAACAUGGCACCUUCACAUCAACAGAUGGAACAGCAGAUCCCACUCAUGGCUCUUGGAAAUGGAUCAUCCUUUCAUGCGGUCUGGUACUUCUGUUCUUCAUUCCUCUCACUGUUUGGUUAGUUCGUCACUACAGGUACCAGAUGUUUUGCACUCGUAGUUGCUGGCCAGUUUCCAAAGAAGCCCUGCCGGCCAUGGAGCUUCCUGCAACCAAGCAGGAUGCAACGGAAGUGCAGUGGGAUUUAUCCUGGAUGGAAAUGUCAAAUCUGCUGGAUAAGCAGUUAUAUCCUGGCACUUAAAGGGUAACUCUUACAUGCAGUAUACAGGAACCACUAAGUGGAGUGCCAUAUGAGAUGCUUCAGAGUGCUGCUAUGGAUGUAUGAACAAUUUGUAGCAAAUGAAGAUCACAGAAAGGCCCCAGUGUGUGCCACAAGGGUCUGUUACUGGUAAAUUUAUCUAAACUACCUGCCUAUGAUUUGUAUUUGUAUUUUCUCUGUUCACUGAUACAAGACUUUUGUACACUAAUACAAAAUGCUAAUACAGAGAUGAUGUAAACUUUGAAAUGGUUAGCUGAGCAAACUUACUAAUAAUAUUAAAAAGACAAGCUUUGUAAUUUACAGAAAAUACUCCAAAGACUGAACAAAUAUUACAUAUUUAUAAAUAGUCUCUUUUAUGAGUUAUAAUAUUAUAUACUGUAUAUUAACUGUUGUUAAUUGUUAGGGGUGCUACUAACUCCUUAACAAGAUACUUUAAAUUCAGAAAAAUCAUAUCACUGACAUAAUUUCAAGUAACUAUGACUGUCAAGUGUUUAGGAAAUAUAAUAAAUAAGCAUAUGUUUUUAUGU